GGGGAAUUAGCUCAGCUGGGAGAGCACUUGCCUUGCACGCAGGGGGUCAGCGGUUCGAGCCCGCUAUUCUCCACCA
rnacentral:tRNA from 1 species